rnacentral:rRNA from 1 species
AGAGUUUGAUCAUGGCUCAGGAUGAACGCUAGCGGCAGGCAUAAUACAUGCAAGUUGAACGAGAUUUCCGAGCAAUCGGAAUGAAAGUGGCGCACGGGUGCGUAACACGUAUGCAAUCUGCCUUUAACUGGGGGAUAGCCUCGAGAAAUCGGGAUUAAUACCGCAUAAUAUAAUCCAAUGGCAUCAUUGGAUUAUCAAACUUACGGGGGUUAAAGAUGAGCAUGCGCAACAUUAGCUAGUUGGUAAGGUAAUGGCUUACCAAGGCUACGAUGUUUAGGGGGUCUGAGAGGAUGAUCCCCCACACUGGUACUGAGACACGGACCAGACUCCUACGGGAGGCAGCAGUAGGGAAUAUUGGUCAAUGGGCGCAAGCCUGAACCAGCCAUGCCGCGUGAAGGAUGACAGCCCUCAGGGUUGUAAACUUCUUUUAUACGGGAAGAAAAAAAGCUUCGUGAAGCUAUCUGACGGUACUGUAUGAAUAAGGAUCGGCUAACUCCGUGCCAGCAGCCGCGGUAAUACGGAGGAUCCAAGCGUUGUCCGGAUUUAUUGGGUUUAAAGGGUGCGUAGGCGGAUGCCUAAGUCAGUGGUGAAAGCCUGCAGCUUAACUGUAGAAUUGCCAUUGAAACUGGGUAUCUUGAAUGUGGUUAAAGUAAGCGGAAUGUAUCAUGUAGCGGUGAAAUGCUUAGAUAUGAUACAGAACACCGAUAGCGAAGGCAGCUUACUGAGCCACUAUUGACGCUGAGGCACGAAAGCGUGGGGAGCGAACAGGAUUAGAUACCCUAGUAGUCC